AGUAUGUAGGUAGGUAAUAUAUUUAUAUUUUUCAUCAUAAUAAGGUAGGUAUUUGCCUAUCUACCUUCAGAAAAACCCUGUUCUACCAUUCAUCAUAAUUAUAAUGUUUAUUUUGUAUAUUAUUCCUACAUGGGUACCUAAAAGUAAAAACCUAAUAUGAAAAUUCUAGGAAACAAUUGUCCGAACAAAGAAAAACUAUGGAGUCGUCUCUGGAUUUAGGCGAAACUGAAACGAAUACAAUCGAUUCUUUAGAAGGGUAUGUAUGUAAUUAUCUACUACAUAUUUAUCACACUGUGACUGCAUAAUAAUAGUUUUGAACGUGUGUGAAAAUAAUAUUCCAAUGAACUAGACAUGACUAGAAUUUUAUUUUGUAGAAGACAAGAAAUGUCAUCGUCGUAUGCAGAUUUACAAAAUGUGACGCUCACGUAAGUUUCAUGAUUACCUACAUAGAUAUAAGUGUCAAUUUAUAAAAGUAAAGUGUUGUUUGUUUUUAGAGUUCCGUACCCAAAGGGUAAAUCGGGACCCUAUUACUAAAACUCCGCUGUCCGUCCAUCUGUCUGUCUGACCGUCUGUCAUCAGGCUGUAUCUCAUGAACCGUGAUAGUUAGCCAGUUGACAUUUUCACAGAUGAUGUAUUUCUGUUGCCGCUUUAACAAAAAAUACUAAAAAAUAGAAUAAAAUAAAUAUUUACGGGGGCUCCCAUACAACAAACGUGCCGUUUUUGCCGUUUUUAUAGAUAGGUAAUGGUAAGGGACCCUUCAUGCGCGAGUCCAACUCGCAUUUGGCCGGUUUUUUCUCUUUUAAUGUUGUCCCGCUGCUGGACAAAUUUCUUCAUCAAAUCCUUCCACCCAUCACAGGCCUUGUCAAGUUUACUAAUGUUUUUUUAGGGCGGCCGAAAAGGAUCAGAACUCACUUCCAUGUUAUUUUGAAGAAAAAACGCCUAAAACAACAUUUGAGAUGGAAUUAGAUGAUAAUGAUGCGCCUCCAAAUAUAUCGCAAUGCGAAUCAGAAGCAAUGACAGAAGAAAAUCAAUAUAAGGAAAAGGACCAGGCUUCAAACGUAUUACCUGAAAAUCAAUGUGAAGAAAGUAAUGCACUUCCAUAUAUAGUUGAAGGCACAUCUGAAGUAACGAUGCAGCCUGAAAUACAAAACUUGGGGCACCGAAUAAUAGAUUUUAAUCAUUUCACAUCAGAAC